AUUGAACGCUGGCGGCAGGCCUAACACAUGCAAGUCGAGCGGAAGAAGGGAGCUUGCUCCUGGAUUCAGCGGCGGACGGGUGAGUAAUGCCUAGGAAUCUGCCUGGUAGUGGGGGAUAACGUCCGGAAACGGGCGCUAAUACCGCAUACGUCCUGAGGGAGAAAGUGGGGGAUCUUCGGACCUCACGCUAUCAGAUGAGCCUAGGUCGGAUUAGCUAGUUGGUGGGGUAAAGGCCUACCAAGGCGACGAUCCGUAACUGGUCUGAGAGGAUGAUCAGUCACACUGGAACUGAGACACGGUCCAGACUCCUACGGGAGGCAGCAGUGGGGAAUAUUGGACAAAGGGCGAAAGCCUGAUCCAGCCAUGCCGCGUGUGUGAAGAAGGUCUUCGGAUUGUAAAGCACUUUAAGUUGGGAGGAAGGGCAGUAAGUUAAUACCUUGCUGUUUUGACGUUACCAACAGAAUAAGCACCGGCUAACUACGUG
rnacentral:rRNA from 1 species